rnacentral:rRNA from 1 species
CGUGAGGAACCUGCCUUUCAGAGGGGGGACAACAGUUGGAAACGACUGCUAAUACCGCAUAACAUAUGUUUGUCGCAUGGCAGAUAUAUCAAAGAUUUAUCGCUGAGAGAUGGCCUCGCGUCUGAUUAGCUAGUUGGUAGGGUAACGGCCUACCAAGGCGACGAUCAGUAGCCGGACUGAGAGGUUGGCCGGCCACAUUGGGACUGAGAUACGGCCCAGACUCCUACGGAAGGCAGCAG